AACGAACGCUGGCGGCAUGCCUAACACAUGCAAGUCGAACGAGACCUUCGGGUCUAGUGGCGCACGGGUGCGUAACGCGUGGGAACCUGCCCUUAGGUUCGGAAUAAAUCCCCGAAAGGGGUGCUGAUACCGGAUAAUGUCUUCGGACCAAAGAUUUAUCGCCUUUGGAUGGGCCCGCGUUGGAUUAGCUAGUUGGUAGGGUAAAAGCCUACCAAGGCGACGAUCCAUAGCUGGUCUGAGAGGAUGAUCAGCCACACUGGGACUGAGACACGGCCCAGACUCCUACGGGAGGCAGCAGUGGGGAAUAUUGGACAAUGGGCGAAAGCCUGAUCCAGCAAUGCCGCGUGAGUGAUGAAGGCCUUAGGGUUGUAAAGCUCUUUUACCCGGGAUGAUAAUGACAGUACCGGGAGAAUAAGCUCCGGCUAACUCCGUG
rnacentral:rRNA from 1 species